GUGUCUAAAUGAUAGUGGGCGUGUCGAAAGGUUUAUCACAUUUCCACUUCGCCGACGCGACUAAAGUAGACAAAGAGCGAGUACAAAAAAUUCACGUCGUACUACAUUUUUUAUUGAAUUUUACUGAAGUAGUCCAGUUGGUUAGUAUCAAUAAUGCUCACGUUCCACCCCCGCUACCACGUUAUCGCUGACCAGCAGUAAACGCAUCAAUUUCAAGAACAAACUUGUUUGAGGUUGUGCCCUGGCCUUUUGGCUUCCUUUCUCCCACCGUCGCCUCCGCUAACGGAUGCUGUGUGUUUGUUGAAGUUGACAUGAAUCAGUUUGCACGUACCAAUUGAGCUGUGUAAACUCUGCUCCCAGCAUCCGCCAUGUCCACCUGCCCCAGGAUUCGGAAAUGAGAGCGCGGCUGCUCCAGCAGACUCUUGCUACAGUCACACCAGCCCUGCCCAGAAAGAAGCGAGAGAAGGUGAAAGGUUUCACAUCCCAUCAGGACAGAGGGCUCUGCGUUGUAGCUGAAGUUCCGACCCUGCGUGACAGAUACUCCACCUCCUUGACGCAGAUGAAUAUCAUCUCAUUAUGUUCCGGAGCUCUGCAAUAAAAAUGCUAAAGAACAAGAAUACAGUGCAGCUGGAAUGGAGAAGAGAAAACCAGAGCAUGUGACGUACAGAAGGCCUGGAUGUAACGUGAUUAGCCAUCCAUCUAUCAUCUAUCUAUCCAUCUUCCAUUUGAUUAUCCAGUACAGCCAUCCAGAAUGGUCUGUAAGUCCAUCGCAGUGCAUGCUCUUACACACUAUGUGUAAUUCGGAGAUGCUUAUUCACCUGCAUGUUUUGCACCAUGGGAAUGAACCAGAGAGCACAAAACCUGUUGUUACUGCCCACACACAGAGCUAGGGGCAGACUGGAGUUAUGAGGCCACAGAAGUACUCAGUGAGACGUCACAGCACCCCUAUCAGAUAGAGAGAGCAUGUUUAUAAUGCCACACUGGUUGCGAUCCUAUCAGAAUGUCUCACUGCACGGUGUCUUGGUGCACGUGUAUAAGGAUUUUAACUGCUAGGUCACUGGGCAGGAUGUCUGUCCAUGUCUGUGUGAGAACAGGGGCACGGGCGAUGAAUCUGUAGUAUGACUGAAGGCCGUCUGCCGUCAGGUUCGCCUCUUAGACUGCUGGCGGCUGAUUGGUUUGGGGGGGCAAUACCGAAUUUGAAGCGAGUUUCCUCGCUGUGGGCACUCUCACCUAUCUCAACUAUUUUGUAACGUUCAAGAAUUUGGACAAUUCUCUGCACCCCCUCCACAACCUGAUGGCCAUAAAACAGAGUGUUUUCAGUCAGAGACUCCUUCAGUUCCGCUGCAAUAAAGACCGUUACUGGAGGACAUUCCUGCCCAUGGAAAUUACCAUUACCGAUCUAUAACAACUCCUCUCUGUGGCGGAAGACAACUUUCCUCAUCUGAGGCAAUACACAAUGGACAAUGCACAUUUACAUUUAAUUUGCACACUAAAGGUAUUUUUGUGUAUUUGUACAUUUACAGUAUUAGUACAUACAUAUUUUUGUCAUUUGUAAUUCGGUGUUACUCCUACCCUUAUACCCAUCUCGUGUCUGUACAGUAUGUUUUUGUCAUUUAUGUAACACAAAAAAUUUCCCCUUGGGGACAAAUAAAGUAAUCUGAAUCUGAAUUUGUGAUUCAGCAUGAAGUUAUGGUUCCCUGUGCUGGUCACAGGUCACUGCUAAGCUGAAAGUUUGGGAAUUUCAGUCACAGCUGUGUGGCGCUGCAUCGAGGGGAAAAAAAACAGCUUUGAUUAACAAGGAAAGCAGCUUCAGCUACAGCUGCAGCUCUCCGGGUCACACUCACUCUCUGCAGUGUUUCUAUCAGCUGAUUUUGACAGCGGUGUCCUAAGGUGGCGGAAAUGAACACCAUGCUCGCUCCUCCUCAGAGCUGGGCUCCUUUUCAGCUGGUGUCACGCUGUCUUGUGAGAUUUAUUGUCGGACAAACAGGUUUUCAUCUCUGAGUUGCACGUCGUCAAAGCAAACUCCCCACAAACACCUCCGGCCUCCGCGUGUCAGGGCAAUUUUCCUAAACACCACCCCUGUCGCAUCUGGCCCUCCUUGAAAAGCCACGGCUGUGGGCCUGAUACAAAUAUUUAUUGAUUGACAGAUCUGCGUAUAAUUCCGCACUUUAAACUCCGACUUGGCGCCCUAGGAAAUGAUCCGUCGCAUUCUGGAGCUGAAAGAUCCUUCAGGCGCAUUGAACAUGUCGCAUGGGAAACAGACGCGGCCUCGGAUAUCCAGGAUGACGGUUGUGAAAUACGACGGGCUCGAAGCGGUGUACCCUACGUGCCAAAAUAAAUAAGCCAAGCCUAAAUGUUACAAUGACAAUCGAAAAGGACGUUUCUACUGGUGACAGGUAUGUGACAGUGGUAUGGACUCAGCAGGUUAGGACUUGGGCCUGUGAUCAGGAGGUCGUUGGUUCAAAUCCUGGG